GGGCGUGUAGCUCAGUGGAUUAGAGCACGUGGCUACGAACCACGGUGUCGGGGGUUCGAGUCCCUCCUUGCCCG
rnacentral:tRNA from 1 species